rnacentral:rRNA from 1 species
AUACGGAGGAUGCAAGCGUUAUCCGGAUUUACUGGGUUUAAAGGGUGCGUAGGCGGAUGAUUAAGCGUGAGGUGAAAUGCCACUGCUCAACAGUGGAACUGCCUCGCGCACUGGUUGUCUUGAAUGCUCCUGCCGGGGGAGGAAUGUGCGGUGUAGCGGUGAAAUGCAUAGAGAUCACACAGAACACCGAUUGCGAAGGCAUCUCACGAAGGGGUGAUUGACGCUGAGGCACGAAAGCGUGGGGAUCAAACAGGAUUAGAUACCCUGGUAGUCCACGCAGUAAACGAUGAUAACUAACCGCUGGGUCGUAGUGAUUCAGUGGCCAAGCGAAAGCGAUAAGUUAUCCACCUGGGGAGUACGACCGCAAGGUUGAAACUCAAAGGAAUUGACGGGG